rnacentral:rRNA from 1 species
GAUGAACGCUGGCGGCGUGCCUAAUACAUGCAAGUCGAGCGAACAGACGAGGAGCUUGCUCCUCUGACGUUAGCGGCGGACGGGUGAGUAACACGUGGAUAACCUACCUAUAAGACUGGGAUAACUUCGGGAAACCGGAGCUAAUACCGGAUAAUAUAUUGAACGGCAUGGUUCAAUAGUGAAAGACGGUUUUGCUGUCACUUAUAGAUGGAUCCGCGCCGCAUUAGCUAGUUGGUAAGGUAACGGCUUACCAAGGCAACGAUGCGUAGCCGACCUGAGAGGAUGAUCGGCCACACUGGAACUGAGACACGGUCCAGACUCCUACGGGAGGCAGCAGUAGGGAAUCUUCCGCAAUGGGCGAAAGCCUGACGGAGCAACGCCGCGUGAGUGAUGAAGGUCUUCGGAUCGUAAAACUCUGUUAUUAGGGAAGAACAAAUGUGUAAGUAACUAUGCACGUCUUGACGGUACCUAAUCAGAAAGCCACGGCUAACUACGUG